rnacentral:rRNA from 1 species
AGUGAACGCUGGCGGUAGGCCUAACACAUGCAAGUCGAACGGCAGCACAGUAAGAGCUUGCUCUUACGGGUGGCGAGUGGCGGACGGGUGAGGAAUACAUCGGAAUCUACUUUUUCGUGGGGGAUAACGUAGGGAAACUUACGCUAAUACCGCAUACGACCUACGGGUGAAAGCAGUGGAUCUUCGGACCUUGCGCGAUUGAAUGAGCCGAUGUCGGAUUAGCUAGUUGGCGGGGUAAAGGCCCACGAAGGCGACGAUCCGUAGCUGGUCUGAGAGGAUGAUCAGCCACACUGGAACUGAGACACGGCCCAGACUCCUACGGGAGGCAGCAGUGGGGAAUAUUGGACAAGGGGCGCAAGCCUGAUCCAGCCAUACCGCGUGGGUGAAGAAGGCCUUCGGGUUGUAAAGCCCUUUUGUUGGGAAAGAAAAGCAGCAGGUUAAUACCCCGCUGUUCUGACGGUACCCAAAGAAUAAGCACCGGCUAACUUCGUG